GGAAGUGGGAGAAGAGGCGACCCAAGGCGGGCUGGCGGGCUGGCGGCAGUCGCUACUUGCCUAGUAGCCUCAGCCGCUGUGGGCUCCUGGGGAGAUGGAGGGGCCGGGGCUGGGCUCGCAGAUACGGAAUUUUUGAACGAUGUAAAGAGUUGGUAGAAGCAGGAUAUGAUGUCAGGCAACCAGAUAAAGAAAAUGUGUCGCUUCUUCAUUGGGCUGCUAUUAACAACAGACUGGAUCUUGUAAAGUUUUAUAUUUCAAAAGGUGCUGUUGUAGAUCAGUUGGGUGGAGAUUUAAAUUCAACUCCUCUUCACUGGGCCAUCCGACAAGGACAUUUACCUAUGGUCAUAUUAUUACUCCAGCGUGGUGCAGACCCCACUCUUAUUGAUGGAGAGGGAUUCAGCAGCAUCCACCUGGCAGUAUUGUUUCAACACAUGCCUAUUAUAGCAUAUCUCAUCUCAAAGGGACAGAGUGUGAAUAUGACAGAUGUAAAUGGGCAGACACCUCUCAUGUUAUCAGCUCACAAAGUAAUUGGGCCAGAACCAACUGGAUUUCUUUUAAAGUUUAAUCCUUCUCUCAAUGUGGUUGAUAAAAUACACCAAAACACUCCACUUCACUGGGCAGUUGCAGCAGGAAAUGUUAAUGCAGUUGAUAAGCUUUUGGAAGCUGGUUCUAGCCUGGAUAUCCAGAAUGUUAAGGGAGAAACGCCUCUUGAUAUGGCUCUACAAAACAAAAAUCAGCUCAUUAUUCAUAUGCUAAAAACAGAAGCCAAAAUGAGAGCCAACCAAAAGUUCAGACUUUGGAGGUGGCUGCAGAAAUGCGAGCUCUUCCUGCUGCUGAUGCUUUCUGUGAUUACCAUGUGGGCUGUUGGAUACAUAUUGGACUUCAAUUCAGAUUCUUGGCUUUUAAAAGGAUGUCUUCUAGUAACACUGUUUUUUCUGACAUCUUUGUUUCCAAGGUUCUUGGUUGGGUAUAAGAACCUUGUAUACUUACCAACAGCCUUUCUGCUAAGUUCUGUUUUUUGGAUAUUUAUGACUUGGUUCAUCUUAUUUUUUCCUGAUUUAGCAGGAGCCCCUUUCUAUUUCAGUUUCAUUUUCAGCAUAGUAGCCUUUCUAUACUUUUUCUAUAAGACUUGGGCAACUGAUCCAGGCUUCACUAAGGCUUCUGAAGAAGAAAAGAAAGUGAAUAUCAUCACCCUUGCAGAAACUGGCUCUCUGGACUUCAGAACAUUUUGUACAUCAUGUCUUAUAAGGAAGCCAUUAAGGUCACUCCACUGCCAUGUAUGCAACUCCUGUGUGGCUCGAUAUGAUCAACACUGCCUGUGGACUGGACGGUGCAUAGGUUUUGGCAACCAUCACUAUUACAUAUUCUUCUUGUUUUUCCUUUCCAUGGUAUGUGGCUGGAUUAUAUAUGGAUCUUUCAUCUGUAAGUGUAAAUUUUUCUUACAACAAGCACAUACAUCUACACCCAUUUCUACUUUUCCUUGUAAACCCUUGUAUAUCACAUUCUGGCUGGGUGACUAUAAACCAUACUCCUAAUAAAAACAAAGCAAAUGCCUCUAAGACUCCCUCAGCAUUGGGAAGCUGCAAGAAAUACAAGAUGAGGUUAGUUCUCAGUACUUUAGGAAAAAAAUGUGAUAAAUUUGAAAAGUAGUCAAAAAUAGAAAUUCAUUUAAGGCAAGUGCAGAUUUGCUCCCCAGUGAAGAAGGAAAGUCAGCUGCUGAAGUACAAAGCUGGAGGUGAUAACUGAAUAAAACAGGAAAAAAAAAAAAAGGUCAGUGGUAGAGAGGUUGGGGGAUCGCUGUCCAGUCAUUAAGGAACAAACCUCUGAAAGCCCAUGCCAUUUGGUAAGUAUCAAGUUGAAACUGAGAACUGAUGGGAAUACUAACAGUUAAAAGGUUGGAAAUAGUAACUUGGAAGAAAACAUUAGAUCACUUAUUCUGUGGCCCUGAGGAAGGAAAAAAGCUUUCAGUAGCGGUUUAAAAGAGUAAAUAGGGGUCUCACAUAGGGAAUGACAGCCAGCUGUUCUGAGGUGGUUGACUAAGAAGGACAGGGUUUAAAUUGAAGCAAGAAAGAUUUUGGCUAUGUCUUAAGAACUGCAUGAUUAUGUUUUUCAGACCUUGGAAAUAGGUUACCUAACUGGAAAAACCUAUAGUGCUUGUAGUUUAUUUAUUUGGACUUUAGCUGUUUAUUAUUUAUUUAUUUUAAGGCUUUUGGAGAAUUGGGCUCUAAACACAGAGGCUUCACUUCCAUCCACCCUCCUGUUACAUUCUUGGUCAAAUCUUAGACUUUACCAGUAGGGUACUAGUUUGUUGCUUGAGCUGAAGUCUGGAGUAAUUCCGAAAGACAUUAAGAACGUUAUUUUCCCCUUAGCAUCCUAAGCCCAAUACACAUACACAUUUUUCCUCUCUUUCUCUCUUCUGUGUCUCUCUGUCUCUUUAGUUUAAAAUUUUUGUUAGUUUUCGAAAGGCAAUUCUUUGUACACUUGCCCCCCAGGCUCCCAGUUUCCCUCCCUAGAAAUAUCAAGUAUUACAAAUUUUGUUUUGUUUGGGGUUUCAUUUUUAGAGAUUAUUAACUAGUAUCUAUGUGUAAUGAGUUAUUUUUUGCCCUGCCAUAGGCAUGGAGGGCUUCAGUUACCUUGUCAGACCCUUUCCUACCUGACGCCUUGAGUGUCUUUGAUCACUAGGCAAUGCUUUUGUAGCUAAAUGUGACUGUCACCAUUUUAAAUAGGUCUAAUAGUCAGAAGGUUGUAAUCUCUGAGCUCAGUUCUUGUCAAAAAGGCCACCAGUAACCCUGAGCAUUCUAUUUUUAUUGUAAUUAAUUUUAAUUUUAUUUGUUUGUUUUUUGCUUAUUUAUUAAUGUAUUUUUUGAGACAGGGUCUCACUCUGUCGCCCAGACUGGAAUGCAGCGGCACCAUCAUGGCUCACUGCAGCCGUAGCUUUUUGUGCUCAAGUGAUCCUCCUGCCUUGGCCUCCCAAAUAGCUGAGACUACAGGUGCCUGUCACCAUGCCCAGUUAAUUUUUAAAUUUUUUGUAGAGAUGGCAUCUUCACCAUGUUGCCCAGGCUGGUUUCAAGCUCCAGGCCUCAAGUGAUUCUCCUGCCUCAGCUUCCCAAAGUGAAGUACUGCACCUGGCCAGCAUUCGAUUUUUAAAACUUCUUAGAUUAUGUCUUAUGGUGUAAAAAGUAAAAGAGUUUUUGACAGCGCUUGGUUCUAUUGAGAAAGCUGCCUUUCAAGGCCUGACAGUAAAGCAUAUUCCUGGAAAACCUUUGUAAGUUGGCACAUAGACCAACUUGUCUCUUGGACUGGAUCCUAUGGGAGAGGAGCCAGAGUUUACACCACUCCUGCCUCUCUUCUCUUCUCUCUCUUUACUAAAAAUAGUCACCUUUGUUUGGCAUCUAUGACCAGCAUAAGACUGUAUUGAUAAGGACAGAAGCGAUUUUCCAUCACAUUCAGUCUUUCCAAGUUAGUUUUUUUAUUACACAUUUUGAUUCUUCCCUUCUCUUUGUCUUUUUUCUCUGGCUCUGAACCAAUUUUCAUAUUACAUUUUGUUUCAUAAGAACAGUCCCACCUUAUAUUCACUUACAACUGUAUAAACUAGCUGAGUGUAUUUUGUUACCUUUAUUCCAUUUAUAUUCCAGCAAUAUUUCUUUACACUGAAUGAGGGCAUUGUGUCAUUUAUUAUUAUUUCACAGACAAAACAUGAACUUGUGCUCCAUUUCUCUAAUGAGUCCUCACUGUUAUCCCACCUCCCUUGUUUACCAUUAAUGCUGUAUUACUAGAGCCCUGCUCUAUACUCUCCUUCUCAUGUGAUCCAAUAGCUGCUACUUCUGUACAGCCUCCAUCCAUUUCAUCUUUUGUAAGGUCUGUUUACAAGGUGGACAGUAAGUGACUCCAAAAGUGUCAGCAUCCUACAAGUUACAGAAAGAAAGAUUGUAGAUUACCAUCAGGAAGAACUCUGUAACUGUCAGAGCCAUCUAAAGAUGAAAACGAUUGACCUGGAAUGAUGUGAGUUCCCUACCAUUAGCCACUGGCCAGCUGAUAAGAAUGUAUUAGCACAAAUUAAAGUGUUACAUUGCAUAAGAUAAUGUACGUGACAACUUGCUGUUGUAUCUUUGAUAUUAAAUCUGAAAACCAGUAUUCUGAAAACUUCAGUGUGAGAUCAUGCUGUAUUAUCAAAAGAAUUCCCAGAAGGGAGCAGUAGAAAUCCAUAAACUGAAAGAAAGUAGAUAUUCUUUCCCAAUCAACAGCUGUUUUCUCCACCUACUGUUGGAAAUUAUAUUCUUCUUUGUGACAUCAGGUGCAUGGGAUGCAUCUUUCUUUGCCAUCCUAAUGAGAUGCUCUAGAGAGAGUGUAAUUUGCCUUAACUUGUACCUUGAUUGCUACUCUGUGAUGAUUGCUCUUAGAAUGCUUCUGGCAUAUAUUCAUGAAAGAUGGUUGGGAAUCAGAGACUUAAAGAGAAAAGAAAAGUAGAUUUUUAGGAUUUAAAUGGACAGUUGACAGGAAAGUCAUAGACUCAUUUUCUUCCUGUCCCUGGAGUUCUUCAGAGCAGCAUUGGGAAAAUGUCCAAAACUGUUUAUCAAAUUGUCAGAGGCAUUUAUGAAACCUCAAGGUGCAAAUCAACAGAAUUAUCUUUUAAAAAUAAUUCACCCUUUAUGCAUGGGCAGGGUGCCUGUAAAAGUCAUUGGAUUUACAUAACCUUGAAGAUCCGUUCCCUUGUUUCUGCUGCUUCCUGUGUGUAUUUCUCCUUACUGCUGCUCCUAGCUACAUGGGUUAGGAGGUUGAUAUGAAAGGCCAUAGUAAAGUUCUUUAAUUGGCACAUCUGGGGAGAAACUGAGCUGUGACCAUCUGAAUCUUGCUCUAUAUUCUUUUCCCAGGUGUAUCUGUCUUGUGAGUCCCUUCAUCUGGCCUUUCUUCCUCUGCAGAUUUAGUUAUGGUGUCAGUGCAGAAGUAUACCCAUGCCCAGCUCCCUGCAUGCUAUUAGAUUGUAUUCUGAUGAUAUCUAGGUGCUUGUGGGAUAUCUUGUGCCCACAGCAAUGGCCUGUUCAUCUGAAUGCUUAAUAAGAGUUUAUAUUCAGUCCUGUAAUAGACCCAUAGUUGCUAUAAACAUGAAUAAGGUAGGGAAUGUUCUAAACAAAUAAUUAACUUCAGGCUAGUAUAUCUUAUGCUGAAUGCUGAUUUUAGUAAAGAUUUUAUGGACCCUUUUUGCUCUUUCUUCACUGUUAACUACUUAUACAGUGUUAUCAUAGCCUCAAUUAACAUUGAGCCACCAUUUUGUUAUCUUUAGUUUUUGAGCUGUCACGUGGAAAAUGAAAUCCUAAAAUUGAAUCAUGAUCUGUGCCAUACUUUCUCUUCUCCCUAUAUAGAACUGCAGUGAUUUUAUCUUCUUGGAGACUGAUAAGUAGUUUAUUGCCUUUUUUUUUUUUGGUGAAUUCACAGAUUGGUCCAGUCAUUGUGCCACAACAUUCAAAGAAGAUGGAUUAUGGACUUACCUCAAUCAGAUUGUGGCCUGUUCCCCUUGGGUUUUAUAUGUCUUGAUGCUAGCAACUUUCCAUUUCUCAUGGUCAACAUUUUUAUUAUUAAAUCAACUCUUUCAGAUUGCCUUUCUGGGCCUGACCUCCCAUGAGAGAAUCAGCCUGCAGAAGCAGAGCAAGCAUAUGAAACAGACGUUGUCCCUCAGGAAGACACCAUACAAUCUUGGAUUCAUGCAGAACCUGGCAGAUUUCUUUCAGUGUGGCUGCUUUGGCUUGGUGAAGCCCUGUGUGGUAGAUUGGACCUCACAGUACACCAUGGUCUUUCACCCAGCCAGGGAGAAGGUUCUUCGCUCAGUAUGAAGAAAAGCAACCCAAAACUCUCAAUCUGAUUUGUUUUUGUUUAUGCCGAUGCCCUGUAGUUUGAAAGUGAAGUAAAGAUUUAGAGUUCACCUAAGUCCAAAGGAAAACACGUGGCUUUUAAAACCAUUAGGUAAAAAAAGUUCUCAAUAAAGGCAUUACAAUUUUUUAGGUUUAGAAAGAUGGACUUUUCUGAUAAAUCUUGGCAGACAUCUAAAAAAAAAAAACCAUAUUUUUCACAAGAAAAUGCAAGUUACUUUUUUUGGAAAUAAUACUCACUGAUUAUGGAUAAAAUGGAAUAUUUUCAGAUACUAUAUUGGCUGUUUCAAAAUAGUACUAUUCUUUAAACUUGUAAUUUUUGCUAAGUUAUUUGUCUUUGUUGUAUCUAUAAAUAUGUAAAAAAUAUUUAAAUAGAUGUACCUGUUUUGCUUUCACACAUAAUAAAAAUUUUUUUUUGUAGUUGAGA
rnacentral:sRNA from 1 species